GAUGUCUAAUCGAGAGGAGAAACAUGAGGAUUCAGACUCGUUACUCUAAACCAGGAAAUCCUGGGGGAACGUGUUCAUGAUUUUAUGAAAUGAGUCUGAGGGCCGAUUGAGGGUCGCAUUUGGCCCGCGGGCCGGACUUGGGACAUGCCAGUUUGCUCUCACCUUGACACUGUCCAUGGAAGAGCCAGUAGCCUUCAGCGCAGGUGCAGGUGUAUCCGCCCGCAGUGUUGAUGCACACCUGAGUGUGGUGACACUGAUGGGAGUUCGUCUCGCAUUCGUCGAUGUCUGCAGGCGGAGAAAGGUGGAUGUUAGACGUAGGAAACCAACAAAUGAGGAGGAAAAGAUUUUUUAACAUCUGCAGCUGCUGUAACGAAGGACCUCCCCCUUGAAGGACAGUAAAGUCUCAUCUCGUCUGCUUUAAGUCGUUUUAUAACAUUUAUUGAAACUAUUCAGUCAAAACGAGGAUUCAAUUUGACUCCCAGCAAAUGUUGUAGGAAAAAAAGCAACAUUUAUUCAAGAAUGUGAGAAAAAUUGUAUUCAGUUUUUGGCAAAUGAACCAAAAAGUUUAUCAGAAACAUCCAUCAAGCCGGUUUCAAACGUACCAGUCGACCUUUCAGGAUGGCAUCAGCCCCAAUGUUUUCACACCAGAUUACAGAAUACUUCGUCACGUCUGAGGAUGCAGACGCUCUCACCUGUUCACCUGCAAGCAUGCACUUCUACAACGGAGGUGAGAAGUUCACCAUCACCGGGACUGAAGAAACACAAUCAAGAAAAAAAAGAAAA